rnacentral:rRNA from 1 species
UCCUACGGGAGGCAGCAGUGGGGAAUAUUGGACAAUGGGCGCAAGCCUGAUCCAGCCAUGCCGCGUGUGUGAAGAAGGCUUUCGGGUUGUAAAGCACUUUCAGUGGGGAAGAAGGCCUUGGGGUUAAUAACCCCGAGGAAGGACAUCACCCACAGAAGAAGCACCGGCUAACUCCGUGCCAGCAGCCGCGGUAAUACGGAGGGUGCGAGCGUUAAUCGGAAUUACUGGGCGUAAAGCGCGCGUAGGUGGCUUGAUAAGCCGGUUGUGAAAGCCCCGGGCUCAACCUGGGAACGGCAUCCGGAACUGUCAGGCUAGAGUGCAGGAGAGGAAGGUAGAAUUCCCAGUGUAGCGGUGAAAUGCGUAGAGAUCGGGAGGAAUACCAGUGGCGAAGGCGGCCUUCUGGACUGACACUGACACUGAGGUGCGAAAGCGUGGGUAGCAAACAGGAUUAGAUACCCUGGUAGUCCACGCCGUAAACGAUGUCGACUAGCCGUUGGGUCCUUCGCGGACUUUGUGGCGCAGUUAACGCGAUAAGUCGACCGCCUGGGGAGUACGGCCGCAAGGUUAAAACUCAAAUGAAUUGACGGGG